UACAGGCGAGCGGUGAGUCCGUUACAGGUUGUUCGGGGUGUUCCCAUCCAUCGGUUGGCAAAAGCUUCGACGCAAAAAGCCUGUGAGGCACGCUCGUUUU
rnacentral:sRNA from 16 species